ACCAGUACAAGAACUUUUUUGCAAAUAUUUAAACAAUUAAAUAUUUGCAAAAAAGUUCCUACGAAGAAUUACAUUGGAUUAUAAGACAAGCUGUAGGCCAUGGUUAUCAAGAGGAUUUGAUUUUGAAUAUGUGGGCAAUGAUCUCGGAAAAGUAUAACCGAAACUUAAGUAGAGAUACGGAGCAAUCGGAGGCAAAUGAUCAUCGCGAGAAGAAACUUUUUAAUGUGAAUAUAAAUCCGGUCACCUUGAAGUACAAAAAGAAAAUAGAGAGAGCCUCUGGGGCUAAAAUGUGCUUAAACAGAAGAAAUACUUUGUUUAAUAUACUAAGAAACGAUAGAGUAAUUCUCUUCCUGGUGUCUGAGAUACCAUUCUUGGACAACGAUUUAGACCAAAAUUUUAAAUAUAUCGGC
rnacentral:lncRNA from 1 species